UGAUGGCAUGAUGGCAAUCAUCUUUCAGGACUGAAUGGAAGUAAAGAGAAUACUCUUGCUUAUCAUUU